UGCCAGCAGCCGCGGUAACACGGGGGGGCGCAAGCGUUAUUCGGGAUUAUUGGGCGUAAAGGGCGCGCAGGUGGCUUGUCAAGCCAGAUGUGAAAGCCCCGGGCUUAACCUGGGAACUGCAUCUGGAACUGGUUGGCUAGAGUACGGUAGAGGGUAGUGGAAUUUCCUGUGUAGCGGUGAAAUGCGUAGAUAUAGGAAGGAACACCAGUGGCGAAGGCGACUGCCUGGACUGAUACUGACACUGAGGCACGAAAGCGUGGGGAGCAAACAGGAUUAGAUA
rnacentral:rRNA from 1 species